AUAUCGGCCUAGGCGCUAGCCGGGAGGACACCGACAUCAUGGAGUUAGGGGGGCCUAGGCGGCCUGGGAGGAUCUAGGCGGCGCCUAGGCGGCCUGGGCGGAUCUAGGCGGCGCCUAGGCGGCCUGGCGGAUCUAGGAGGCCUGGGUGGGUUUUGCUGUUACUGAUCCUAUGUAAUUGAGUUAGUCUAUGUCUUCUAAUCCCUUUUUAGUCCUUGACUUGUGUUAAAUUUUCCCAGUGCGACACUUAACGACAUUAUACAAAAGAACUUCACAGAGGAAUUUGCCGAAAGGAAGUUGGAGAAUGAUACAAUGACAAACUUUGGUGUUGAUUUGAUGCCACUCUUUGUCAUGGAUGUUGUCCUCCCAUUUCAGAAGUUUCGGCUACUCAUUUCUUAACCUAGGUAUAGACUUCUGGUUACCACUGAAUCUUCAACAGGCUCAAUAGCUGAUUUUCUUGUGAAGUGGAAAUGACCAACUAGGUGUGAACCACUACCAGAAGGGUCUAGAGAGAGAGAGCAGACUUGCAGGAAUGGACAAAUAAUGCAGCAGAGUAUGCUCGGUUAUGGAUAAGGCGGGGUAAAAGAGCAGCACGUCAAGAGAAUACAACACGAACUGAUAUAUCUCAUAGCAAAAGGGCAGGGUUGUCAAGUGCAAUGAGAAAAAUGCUAUCAUUGGGUUUAGUUCAUAAUUACGAUGGAUACAUUUUAGAAACUAAAUUAUUACACAGGCAAUUUUAUACCAUGAAAUUCAAGAUUCUUUUAUCCCAAAAA